GAGAAGGUGGCUCAGUGGUAGAGUGCUUGCCUUGCAUGCAUGAGGCCCUGGUUCAAUUCCUCAGCACCUCA
rfam:Dipodomys ordii contig_85283, whole genome shotgun sequence.